rnacentral:rRNA from 1 species
GGCGAACGCUGGCGGCAGGCCUAACACAUGCAAGUCGAACGAACCCUUCGGGGUUAGUGGCGGACGGGUGAGUAACACGUGGGAACGUGCCUUUAGGUUCGGAAUAACUCAGGGAAACUUGUGCUAAUACCGAAUGUGCCCUUCGGGGGAAAGAUUUAUCGCCUUUAGAGCGGCCCGCGUCUGAUUAGCUAGUUGGUGAGGUAAUGGCUCACCAAGGCUACGAUCGGUAGCUGGUCUGAGAGGAUGACCAGCCACAUUGGGACUGAGACACGGCCCAAACUCCUACGGGGGGCAGCAGUGGGGAAUCUUGCGCAAUGGGCGAAAGCCUGACGCAGCCAUGCCGCGUGGAUGAUGAAGGUCUUAGGAUUGUAAAGCUCUUUUACCCGGGAUGAUAAUGACAGUACCGGGAGAAUAAGCCCCGGCUAACUCCGUGCCAGCCGCCGCGGUAAGAC